UCUAUGUAGAUAGGUUUAUGUAGGUUUUAUAUAGAAAUAUCAAGUUAGGGCGUCCAAUCUACAAAAAUAAGGGUAGCAAAAACUACUCAUUCCUCCAGCCUUAAGUUAUAUUCCAUCGACAACGUUUUGAAACAUUCCUCACUUUGCUUCGCGUCCUUCUUUUCCCGCUUUGAAGCCAACUCUCAGUACAUACAAAUUAAGCACGGCCACAGGCAUUCAGCAACAACAACAACAAAAAUAUGGCAAAUAAAGUUUAUUUAAUUGUUUUGUAUGCCUGUGCUAAGCCCUCUCCUCUUUUGGGGACGCUGCCGCGGCCGUGAGCUCUGAGUUGGCCAACAUCACAAUUCAGAAUCAGACGAAAACGACAACGUCAACGAAGAAGGCUUCAGUCUUCUCAAUUUUUAAAGUCACAAUAAUUCAGAAUUCAAAACAGAAACAGAAUACCUAUCUAACACGCCAUUUGUGCGAAGCCAAGAGGCUUCAGAUACCUACAUAGGGCAACCAUCGCAGUUCGAAUUCAACGGUCCACAGAAAUAAACGUGCCACAAGCGAUCUACAACUUAUACUCUAUACCUACCCAACUUAUACCUUCUGUUUGUCUGGUCGCAAAAAAUUCUUAUAAACAAAAAUUUAACUAAACAUUUUGUUUGAAAUUUGAAGUUUUUGGAUUAAAUUGAUUAAGAGAGUGAAUUAAUAUAAAUUUUAUUUGUGGAAAUUUAAUUUAAUUACAAAACAUACUAAGAGCGAGAGUGUACCUUUUCUAUAGUUGAAUAUAUAUGUAUACCAAAAACACAUAUACCUACAAAUCUACAUAAAUACAUGUACAUAUGAUGUACCUAUGUAAAACUAUAUGUAUAUAGGAAAAUUGUUGUUUUUGUUUCCAAUACAAUUGUAAUAAAUUUUCUACCCAUGUGAAUGUGACUUGCAAUAAUUAUAAAAUGCAAACAAACAAAAUAAGCGUAACACUAACAACAACAACAGCAACAACAACUCAAAACUUGGUUGGUUGGUUGCUUGGUUACAUAAUAUCCUUGAACUUGAAGUGGUACAGUUGAUGCAGUCGCAGUCGCAGGCCGCAGCAGAAUUAUUGUUGGUCGACGGUUGGUUUUGGAUGGAUGGUGGUUAGUGGUUGUUAGCCUGGUCUUGAUCUGACGCUGGCCCUGACUUGGCUCAUUACAGAUAUUACACCGAACCGACCGCCACCAUCAGUGCAGUUGAAUAUUAAUUUCUACCAAACUUGCUGCUAGGUACUGCUGAGUUAAUAAAUUUAAAUUAAUUAAAAGUGUUUUUUUUUUAAAUUAAUAAGAUCAUAAGAAAAACUACUGAGUGCAUCUUGAAACGAAGAAUAAUAUAAAAUAUACAAAAGUGACCUCACCACACUUUGGGUGCGCAAAAAUGUUUUAAGAACAAUUUUGUAAUUUUAUUUUAUCACCAUUAUACUUGUAGUUGAAAUUCUAAUAUAUCUAUCGGUGCGCAAUUAAUUAUUAUUAACAAUAAUAAAGUAAAAUUAAGUGAUUUUUGUACCUUCCUAAUAGUUGCUGUUAUUUUAAAUGGAAACCAGUUUCAAUGAUCGACGGAUAUUAACAAUCAUGCAAAAAUAGAGAUCAAAACGUAUACCUACACAAACAAAGAAGCAUACACAAAAUCUCUAUAAUCAGAACGAAACAUACCUAACCAAACAUUUCAAGGCUGCUAUUCACGUCAAAGGAUGCAUCUACCUAUACCUACAUAGGUACCUAACCUACGUACCGUACCCAAUGUGCAAGGCAAGCAGCAGCAGCAAACAAAAGAUGACGCGUGUCUCAAAAGCGCCCUCUGUUCUGCUAAAGCGGAAGUUGUGGGUGGUUGGGUUGUUGGUUGGGUGAACACGUCGUUUUUAGUGGAUGGGGUGCUUUAGAUUGAUGCAGCAAACUGAGAACCUAUACACUCUCACAAAAGCAAACUCAAUGAAACUCAAUUUUGAUUUUCAUUUCGUUUCAAUAAAAUGACAAAAUAAAAGACAGAAAAACUGAAUUAUGUGUCACAAACGUCCAAUCGAACGACCCACGGCGCAGUUACUUUAGUCCCAGUGCUUCAUCAGUAGAAAAUGGAAAAAUGAACAAAAACGAAAAUGAAAACGAAAAAAAGAAAACAAAUCGAAAAGAACUGAAUGUGGUGCUUCAUCAGCGGAAAAGGAAGUCAUGCGCAUCAACGUUCAACUUGAACUUGAAAAUUCCAUUCUUAAUAUGUAUGGUGGUAGGUAAGUGAGGCUACACAAAAGUAAAAUCAAUAAAACGCUUCACUUUCAGAUUAAACCUUCCUCCAAAUAAAUCAAAUAGGCACUUUUUUUUAUAAAGUAAAGCGAGUGUUAGUGUGUAUUAGUGUGCACUGUGAGUAGUACAUAGCGAGAGGAGAUUAUAUUGUGUACUUUUGAUUGUGUUGGAGAACAAAACAACAAAAACUACACUCAGCUGAGUGGCUUUUGUUUUUCUGUAGAGAGUGGAGAACGUCUAGAAAAGCUUUUUCUUUGGUAUGUUAAGCUUUUGAAAAGCAAAAGUUUUAUGGAAACCCCUCUCACUUCUUCACUGUGAAUAGUGAGGGUUAAAAAUAUUCUUUUUCAAUACCUAGGUACACUUUUUCCUUUCGGUUUCCAGUGUAUAAGUCUCACAACACCCACACUUUCUUCUUAUGUGUAUCCAUAUUGAAUAAGCUUUUCAGUUCAAAGCAAACAAAGCUCUAAGGCUGACCAAAAAUGUAUGUCAUAUCUUGACAACAGCUUUUAUCUUGGUUCUAGGAGCAGCUUGUACACUUUCCUCAUCAUUUUUUGAAUACAAAACAACAUUGAAAACUUCUCCAUUCCAUUUUUACGAACCAAAAAUGAAAUGUAUAGGUUAGGUUUUGCGUAGGUGGUUUGGCUCUCUGAAGUUUAAGUAUCACAAUCACAAGUCACACAACUUGUGCUGCAUGGCAUUGGGCCUUAUUUGCUGUGCCUUGUCCUUAACAUCUUUUUUGUCAGUUGUUCGGUGGUCCGGUAAAGGUGUUUCGUCGGUCGGUCGGUAUGAUGAUUAGAAUUGAAAAAAGUGCUCAUCUCUGUCUAUUUAUGAGAUUGAAUAAUCGAAUAGUAUCUAAGAGAAUCUUUUUCAAAUAUCCUUUUCACAAAGAAGAAUACAAAUUGACAUUUAAGAAAAUGUUGCAAGUUCAUUCUCAAGUACAUUUUUUCGAGUUGUUGUUGUUUUCGUGUGAACAAAAAGUAUCUAAAAUUGCCUGAAAAAGUUGAUUUAUGUAGAUAUCCAUAUUUUGAUAAAGCUGCCUUGUAUUGCGUUUUUCCUCUCUCGUCUCUCUCUCUAUCUCACGCCUCUCACUCUCUCCCUCUCGCUCUUUGCUCCUCUAUCAUCACGUCGCAAGUUUGAAUUGCACUUUUAUGUCUGCACAAGUGUCUAUUUUUACUUCCGGAUGAAAGUGUCUGAAGAACGAACGAAUGCGUGUGAAAAGUGCUGAUUUCAAUAUAAAUAUAAAACAAAUUAAAAGAAGUGUUUUUCUUUUUUUUUUAAAUUACACUUUUUAAUUGAAUCUAACUUUGGUAAGUUUUUUUGUGUUUAGGAUAUAAAUUUAUUUAUGUGCGAGAAUUUGAUUUAAAACAAAGUGUUAUUUAUUUUAUAUUUGAACUUAACAUAUGUUGUUUGGUAUUUAAAAUGUUGGUUCUAUUGAAUUAUGUGUGAUAUUUCUUGUUUUUAAAUUGAAUUAUGAAUUGUCACGUAUACUUACUUAAAGCUGUUAAUGACAUUUUUGAUUAUCGUUUAACUUUGAACUUUUUAUUUUAAAAGUGAGAUAUGUACAUAGGUACCUAGGUUUGAAUGAAAAAUGUUAACAAUCAAAGAGCAUUGAAUAGAUACAUAUGUAAGUUUUUUUUAAAAAGAAUUCCAUGAAAUAAGCUGAAAGUAAUUUGUACCUUUGGACUUAUAGCUACCUGAAGGUAGAAAAAGUGCUUUUAAGUUUGUGAUAAACGUGUGCAUAGAUACAGAGGUUAAUCGUUAACAUCAUCUGUUGAUGAACUUUUCUUUAAAGUUAAUUGAUAAUACACCUGCAUACAUAUGGUGGCGUGCAUAUAACUCUUUUUUUAUUUAGUUUUUUAUCUAAAUUUAUUAAAGCUAUAAUAUUUUAUGAAGUGAUAAUAUGAAUAAAGCAUUUUGAAAAAUUAAAACUUUAAUCAAUUUUAUUGCUUCAACAUUUAAGAACUUUGUAUGUAUGUAUUUAGGUAGCAGACUUGUAAAAGAAUGCAAUCAUUUGAAGAAUUCAGUCAUUAUAAAUCAUAUAUUGAAUCCAAUUUUACAAUUGCAUUCAUUGAUUUCAAUAUAAGAAUGGGUCUUCAAAACUAUGCAAUCAUCAAUUAUUUGGCCUUAAAAAGACUGCAAUCAUUUUAUCUGCAAAAAAUUGAUUGUAAUCAUUUUGAGAAUUCAUGCAUUUUUAUGCAUUCACUUGACGUCUUUGCGUUCAUUUAGAUCCUUACGAUCUCUUAAAGUCUUUUAAUUCACUUGAAGUCUUUGUAUUCUUAAAUGUCAAAACAAAUUUUACACAGAAUUUCGAUGUCAGACACCAAGAGAUUGCAAUCAAUAUUUCAAAAGUGUGUAGGGAAAUUUUACUUAAGAAUGCAAAGACUUCAAAUAAAAACAAAGACUUCAAAUAAAUGCAAUGACUUCAAGUGAAUGCAUGAAGCCUCAAAUGAAUGCAAUCAAUUGAUUGCAGUCAAAUGAUUGGAAGUUAAAAUGAUUGCAGUCUUUUUAAGAUCAAAUGAUUGGAGAUUGUAAAUUUUAAAAUGCCAAUCAUUAGGGGAAUUGAAUGAAUGCAAUUUUGAAUAUUGAAGUUAUAUGACUUAAUUUGGAUUCUUUUAAAAGCCCGAUAGGAAGAUUGAGAAAUCUUUUAAAAUAGUGACUAUUUCCAUUUAAUAAUUACUGUCUUGUUUUCUUGUAAUGCAUAAAGUCAUGAUAAAUAAAAUCGAAAUUUAAGUACAAAAAUUUAGUUUUGAAGUUUACUUACGAAUAAAGAAGCGACAGAUCGUGCGAAAUUCUGGACUUUGAUAU